UCUAGUGAUGAUGGCAAAGAGGUCACACCCGUUCCCAUAUCGAACACGGAAGUUAAGCUCUUUUGCGCCGAUGGUAGUUGGGGGUUUCCCCCUGUGAGAGUAGGACGUCGCUGGGC
rnacentral:rRNA from 1 species